AACGAACGCUGGCGGCAUGCCUAACACAUGCAAGUCGAACGAGACCUUCGGGUCUAGUGGCGCCCGGGUGCGUCACGCGUGGGAACCUGCCCUUAGGUUCGGAAUAACUCCCCGACAGGGGUGCUAAUACCGGAUAAUGUCUUCGGACCAAAGAUUUAUCGCCUUUGGAUGGGCACGCGUUGGAUUCGCUAGUUGGUAAGGUAAAAGACUACCCAGGUAGCGAUGCGUAGCUGAUAUGAGAGGCUGCUUGGCCACACUGGGACUGAGACACGGCCCAGACUCCGAGGGGAGGCAGCAGGAGGGAAUAUUCCGAAAUGGGAGAAAGGCUGAAGGAGAAAAGGCGCGUGAGUGAUGAAGGUCUUCGGAUCGUAAAACUCUGUUAUUAGGGAAGAACAAAUGUGUAAGUAACUAUGCAAGUCUUGACGGUACCUAAUCAGAAAGCCACGGCUAACUACGUG
rnacentral:rRNA from 1 species